UACGUAGGGUGCGAGCGUUGUCCGGAAUUAUUGGGCGUAAAGGGCUCGUAGGCGGUUUGUCGCGUCGGGAGUGAAAACCUUGGGCUUAACUCAGGGCUUGCUUUCGAUACGGGCAGACUAGAGGUAUGCAGGGGAGAACGGAAUUCCUGGUGUAGCGGUGAAGUGCGCAGAUAUCAGGAGGAACACCAGUGGCGAAGGCGGCGACCUGGGCCAAUAUUGACGCUGAGGUGCGAAAGCGUGGGGAGCAAACAGG
rnacentral:rRNA from 1 species